UACGGGGGGAGCAAGCGUUGUUCGGAUUUACUGGGCGUAAAGGGCGCGUAGGCGGCCAGCACAAGUCAGUUGUGAAAUCUCCGAGCUUAACUCGGAAAGGUCAACUGAUACUGUGCGGCUAGAGUGCGGAAGGGGCAACUGGAAUUCUUGGUGUAGCGGUGAAAUGCGUAGAUAUCAAGAGGAACACCUGCGGCGAAGGCGGGUUGCUGGGCCGUUGCUGACACUGAUGCGCGACAGCGUGGGGAGCAAACAGG
rnacentral:rRNA from 1 species